CUUACCAUGCAGUCGAACGGCAGCACGGGAGCAAUCCUGGUGGCGAGUGGCGAACGGGUGAGUAAUAUAUCGGAACGUGCCCAGUCGUGGGGGAUAACGUAGCGAAAGCUACGCUAAUACCGCAUACGAUCUACGGAUGAAAGCGGGGGACUCGUAAGGGCCUCGCGCGAUUGGAGCGGCCGAUAUCAGAUUAGGUUGUUGGUGAGGUAAAAGCUCACCAAGCCUGCGAUCUGUAGCUGGUCUGAGAGGACGACCAGCCACACUGGAACUGAGACACGGUCCAGACUCCUACGGGAGGCAGCAGUGGGGAAUUUUGGACAAUGGACGCAAGUCUGAUCCAGCAAUGCCGCGUGCAGGACGAAGGCCUUCGGGUUGUAAACUGCUUUUGUACGGAACGAAACGGUCUGCUUUAAUACAGUGGGCUAAUGACGGUACCGUAAGAAUAAGCACCGGCUAACUACGUGCCAGCAGCCGCGGUAAUACGUAGGGUGCGAGCGUUAAUCGGAAUUACUGGGCGUAAAGCGUGCGCAGGCGGUUAUAUAAGUCAGAUGUGAAAUCCCCGGGCUCAACCUGGGACCUGCAUUUGAGACUGUAUAGCUAGAGUACGGUAGAGGGGGAUGGAAUUCCGCGUGUAGCAGUGAAAUGCGUAGAUAUGCGGAGGAACACCGAUGGCGAAGGCAAUCCCCUGGACCUGUACUGACGCUCAUGCACGAAAGCGUGGGGAGCAAACAGGAUUAGAUACCCUGGUAGUCCACGCCCUAAACGAUGUCAACUGGNNGUUGGGUCUUCACUGACUCAGUAACGAAGCUAACGCGUGAAGUUGACCGCCUGGGGAGUACGNCGCAAGGUUGAAACUCAAAGGAAUUGACGG
rnacentral:rRNA from 1 species